GUAUCCUUAGCUCAGUAGGUAGAGCGCUUGACUGUUAAUCAAGAUGUCGUAAGUUCGAGCCUUACAGGAUACG
rnacentral:tRNA from 1 species